AACGGAGUGAUAUAUUGCGUUUAUUAAAUUAUGACGGAAGUGACGCAACAGCGCACGGUAUGGCACCAGCUUCCCGCCGUAGUUCAGGCAGAGCUACCAGGGAAGUCACAGGUUAUUUUCUAGACUGAAAAGCCCCGUGACUU